rnacentral:misc_RNA from 1 species
UGUGUGUGUGUGUGUGUGUAUCUGUGCCAUUGUUACGGUCAUAUACAUUGGAGCAAUUUUUUUGUCCCUUAAACUAAUUUUAACAAAUUUCCCUGUAGAUCUAACAUAAUGUUUGUUUAUUAUAGUAUAUUUCCUGUCAGUAUAAAUUUUAGGUUGUCAUCUUUUGCAGGUUCAGUUUAGUUAACUCAUCUUGCUGGUUCUUGCAUAGACACUGGUCUUUCUUGUGCAUUUGUAAUUCUGUCAUGGAUCAUUUAUUGGAAAAAGGGUUAAUGACCAAAAAAAGGUUUAGUCAUUAUUGCGAAAUUGAACUGAGAUUGUUUUUUUUUGUGGGGUAAUAACUCUUUGGAAAACGGUAACAUAUAAACAGAGUUCAGAUUCCCCGCCUUAACUGUGUGUAUAUAUAUCCUAAAGUGCAUUGCAGGAAAGAUUUGGCCUUUAUUCUUAAAAGGAAAUGGAAAGUGCACACAUAUGCCUUUUUGGUUAGUGUCACAACCUGAUGAUUCCGAACCUUACAUUUCAAUUUUCCUUUGUUCUUUUCCCAUUGAUGCAUCUGCAUGUUAGCUUGAAUUGUGGCCAAUUUUAAUUGCCAUGAUAGUGAAACUAUUGACUUGAAUUACAAUUUUGUUAUUUUGCAGGUUGUUUUGAACCUGGGAUCUC